AGGAAUAUUGGUCAAUGGACGAGAGUCUGAACCAGCCAAGUAGCGUGAAGGAUGAAGGUUCUAUGGAUUGUAAACUUCUUUUAUACGGGAAUAAACGGAUCCACGUGUGGAUUUUUGCAUGUACCGUAUGAAUAAGGAUCGGCUAACUCCGUGCCAGCAGCCGCGGUAAUACGGAGGAUCCGAGCGUUAUCCGGAUUUAUUGGGUUUAAAGGGAGCGUAGAUGGGUUGUUAAGUCAGUUGUGAAAGUUUGCGGCUCAACCGUAAAAUUGCAAUUGAUACUGGCAGUCUUGAGUACAGUAGAGGUGGGCGGAAUUCGUGGUGUAGCGGUGAAAUGCUUAGAUAUCACGAAGAACUCCGAUUGCGAAGGCAGCUCACUGGACUGCAACUGACACUGAUGCUCGAAAGUGUGGGUAUCAAACAGGAUUAGAUACCCUGGUAGUCCACACAGUAAACGAUGAAUACUCGCUGUUUGCGAUAUACAGUAAGCGGCCAAGCGAAAGCAUUAAGUAUUCCACCUGGGGAGUACGCCGGCAACGGUGAAACUCAAAGGAAUUGACGGGGGCCCGCACAAGCGGAGGAACAUGUGGUUUAAUUCGAUGAUACGCGAGGAACCUUACCCGGGCUUAAAUUGCAACCGAAUAUGGCGGAAACGCUAUAGCUAGCAAUAGCGGUUGUGAAGGUGCUGCAUGGUUGUCGUCAGCUCGUGCUGUGAGGUGUCGGCUUAAGUGCCAUAACGAGCGCAACCCUUGCCGAUAGUUACUAACAGGUUAUGCUGAGGACUCUGUCGGGACUGCCAUCGUAAGAUGUGAGGAAGGUGGGGAUGACGUCAAAUCAGCACGGCCCUUACGUCCGGGGCUACACACGUGUUACAAUGGGGGGUACAGAGGGCUGCUACCACGCAAGUGGAUGCCAAUCCCAAAAACCUCUCUCAGUUCGGAUUGAAGUCUGCAACCCGACUUCAUGAAGCUGGAUUCGCUAGUAAUCGCGCAUCAGCCACGGCGCGGUGAAUACGUUCCCG
rnacentral:rRNA from 1 species